UACGUAGGGUGCAAGCGUUGUCCGGAAUUAUUGGGCGUAAAGAGCUCGUAGGCGGUCUGUUGCGUCGGUUGUGAAAACCCGGGGCUCAACCCCGGGCCUGCAGCCGAUACGGGCAGACUAGAGUUCGGCAGGGGAGACGUGGAAUUCCUGGUGUAGCGGUGAAAUGACGCAGAUAUCAGGAGGAACACCGGUGGCGAAGGCGGGUCUCUGGGCCGAUACUGACGCUGAGGAGCGAAAGCGUGGGGAGCGAACAGG
rnacentral:rRNA from 1 species